ensembl:lncRNA
UGAAAGGGUUACUCAGACAGGACCCAGGGAAGCAGAGUCAGACAGGAGCCUUACCCAGGCUCCAGGAGUUCCUUUCCUCUCAGGGCUGAGUUCCUAGAAAUCAGCACAGUUCCCAGCACAGAGUAGAUGUACAUUCAUACGUGGGUCUCCCGGCACCCCUCCACCAAAUGCCCAGUGCCGCCAGCUCCUACAAUGCCUUCCAGAAGUGGCCUAUGUCUGGCCUGAUCCCUCAUCCCACCAGAAACACACCUAAGCACACUCUGUGCCACCCAACAGAGGCCUUGCUUCUUCGGGCUGAUGAUGACUAGUGAAACCAGUCAGCACCAGGGGAUCUGACGUGGACCCAGCCCUCCCAGGAAAUAGCACUGCAACGGGAGGCUCCUGAGACACGCCUUAGACCACAGUGGGUGGGGCCCGACCGCUGCCUGCCCUCUUGCUGCCCUGCCCAGGAAGAAGCCAGCCAGGGAGAUGUCUGACCCAUUGGUCCUCCCCUCUGUCCUCUGGCCUGAUCCCCCUCCUCUCCCCACGGUGGCUCAGGCUAGCCAUGCCCUUCCCAUCCUGUGGGCCAGCGGUCUAGGGUGGGGAGCUCACGGUGGGGGUGAAGCCAUCUUGGCUCUGACCUGGGCUAGGCCCAAACCUGCCUCCCUUGGGGCCUUAUUCUGGAAGAAAACAGCUGCUUUAGUCUCCGACUUGUGGAGACAGAUGACUUUUCAAACCAGAAUCUUUCUCCUAAGCUUUUCCUCAGGACUCACCUCAUUGUGCAUCUGCUUGAAGCCCUUUCUAGAUAAAAAUGGGUAAAG